UAGCAAUACGGUGGAAAGUUCAGUGGCGAACGGGUGCGUAACACGUGGGCAAUCUGCCUUGAAGUGUGGGAUAGCUCGGCGAAAGCCGGAUUAAUACCGCAUGUGGCUACUGGAGACAUCUUCGGGACGCUAAAGGUGGCGCAAGCUACCGCUUUUUGAGGAGCCCGCGGCCUAUCAGCUUGUUGGUGAGGUAACGGCUCACCAAGGCGUUGACGGGUAGCUGGUCUGAGAGGACGACCAGCCACACUGGGACUGAGACACGGCCCAGACACCUACGGGUGGCAGCAGUCGAGAAUUUUUGACAAUGGGGGAAACCCUGAUCGAGCGACGCCGCGUGGAGGAUGAAGGUCUUCGGGUUGUAAACUCCUGUCAUUUGGGAACAAGGCGUAUUUAUUAACUGUAAGUACGUUGAUAGUACCAGAAGAGGAAGAGACGGCUAACUCUGUGCCAGCAGCCGCGGUAAUACAGAGGUCUCAAGCGUUGUUCGGAUUCAUUGGGCGUAAAGGGUGUGUAGGUGGCGCGCUAAGUCGGGUGUGAAAUUUCGGAGCUUAACUCCGAAACUGCAUUCGAUACUGGCGUGCUUGAGGACUGGAGAGGAGACUGGAAUUCUCGGUGUAGCA
rnacentral:rRNA from 1 species